rnacentral:rRNA from 1 species
GAUGAACGCUGGCGGCGUGCCUAAUGCAUGCAAGUCGAGCGAACGGACGAGAAGCUUGCUUCUCUGAUGUUAGCGGCGGACGGGUGAGUAACACGUGGAUAACCUACCUAUAAGACUGGGAUAACUUCGGGAAACCGGAGCUAAUACCGGAUAAUAUUUUGAACCGCAUGGUUCAAAAGUGAAAGACGGUCUUGCUGUCACUUAUAGAUGGAUCCGCGCUGCAUUAGCUAGUUGGUAAGGUAACGGCUUACCAAGGCAACGAUGCAUAGCCGACCUGAGAGGGUGAUCGGCCACACUGGAACUGAGACACGGUCCAGACUCCUACGGGAGGCAGCAGUAGGGAAUCUUCCGCAAUGGGCGAAAGCCUGACGGAGCAACGCCGCGUGAGUGAUGAAGGUCCUCGGAUCGUAAAACUCUGUUAUUAGGGAAGAACAUAUGUGUAAGUAACUGUGCACAUCUUGACGGUACCUAAUCAGAAAGCCACGGCUAACUACGUG